rnacentral:rRNA from 1 species
AUUGAACGCUGGCGGCAGGCCUAACACAUGCAAGUCGAGCGAGCGGCGGACGGGUGAGUAAUGUAUGGGGACUGCUCGAUAGAGGGGGAUGACUACUGUAAACUGUGGCUAAUACUGCCUACUAUCGGAUAACCCAUAUGGGAUUAGCUAGUAGGUUGGGUAAAGGCUCACCUAGGCGACGAUCUCUAGCUGGUCUGAGAGGAUGAGUAGCCACACUGGGCUGGAGAUCAGGCCCAGACUCAUACGGAGGCAGGAGUGGGGAAUAUUGGACAAUGGGAGCGAGCCUGAUGCAGCCAUGCCGCGUGUAUGAAGAAGGCAAUAGGGUUGUAAAGUAAAUUUAGCGGGGAGGCGUUACCCGAAGAAGAAGCACCGGCUAACUCCGUGCCAGCAGCCGCGGUAAUUC